GUCCCAAACUGGCGUAUCAGGAAGCACAGAUUCAUCUGAGCCCAAGGUGGGACCUGUGAGUUACACUAACCCAAAUCUGUUGGCAGAGUUGGCCAUCCUGGAGGUGCAGAGAGAAGCCUUCGGUUUUGCACCUGUGCGCCCAUUCUUGUCUCCAUCUCUGUGCAGGGCCCUGCUGAUCGGAGGGAUGACUGACGCUGUGCCCUCCAGGAGCUCAAGUCUGGUGGGCAGGGAGGGUUUCCAGGGGCCUUGCAGGAAAAUACCUGAUGCUAGUGGGGGAAGGGCAUUCCAGACCAAGGAAAGAGCAUGUGCAAAGGCCCUGAGGCACGGAGCUGAGGGCCCGCUUGGGGAACUGUGCAUGCAGCGUGGGGUGAGGAGCGAGGGGUGCCCAGCAGGUGAGAGGUUGGAGAGAAGGACAAAGCAAACGCAUGAAGCUGUUAUCACACAGAGCAGAGGAGUUGGACUUUUUCCAGACGGGAGUGAGGAGCCGAUAGGGUUUUGACAGAAGUGACUCACCAGGAUGUCUGCUUUAGGAAGAUCCACCUAGGGGGCACUGGAGGAUGGAGUGGGAGAGGAAGCGCCUGGAGGAGCCGCCUUUCCAGAGGCGCAGGCUGCCGCGGCUGAAGGCAGGCAAAACGCCAUGGCCCAGCUGUGCUGGAAGCUUGUCUGUUUUCCUGAAAUCCCCGGAGGUGCUCCAUCCACUGCGCUCAUAACCCAAGGCCUGUUCUGAAGGCUUGCGAAGAGCAGAUAAAAUUAAGAUACAACCCUGGCCACGUCGCUCAGUUGGUUAGAGUGUCGUCCCAAUAUGUCAAGUUGCUGGUUCGAUCCCCAGUCAGG